rnacentral:rRNA from 1 species
GAUAAACGUUGGCGGUGCGCUUUAUGCAUGCAAGUCGAACGGGGUUAUGGUUUUCGGACUGUAACCUAGUGGCGAACGGUUGAGUAACACGUAAAUAACCUACCUCUGAGUGGGGGAUAACCUGUCGAAAGGCAGGCUAAUACCGCGGUGGUAAUCAGGGAUUGCCUGGUUAUUAAAGCCUUAGGGCGCUCGGAGAGGGGUUUGCGUCUGAUUAGCUAGUUGGUAGGGUAAUGGCCUACCAAGGCGACGAUCAGUAGCUGGUCUGAGAGGAUGUCCAGCCAGAUGAGGACUGAGAUACGGCCUCAACUCCUAUGGGAGGCAGCAGCAAGGAAUAUUGGGCAAUGAGCGAAAGCUUGACCCAGCGACACCGCGUGAGGGAAUAAGGCCUUCGGGUUGUAAACCUCUUUUCUCGGGGAAGAAUAUUGACGGUACUCGAGGAAUAAGUCUCGGCUAACUACGUGCCAGCAGCCGCGGCAAGACGUAGGAGGCAAACGUUAUCCGGAUUUACUGGGCGUAAAGAGAGCGUAGGUGGUUCUUUAAGUCAGGUGUGAAAUCUUUUGGCUUAACCAGAAGGGGUCAUCUGAUACUGGGGGGCUUGAGGACAGCAGAAGAAAAUAGAAUUCCCAGUGUAGCGGUGAAAUGCAUUGAUAUUGGGAAGAACACCAGUGGCGAAGGCGAUUUUCUAGGUUGUUCCUGACACUGAGGCUCGAAAGCGUGGGGAGCGAAGCGGAUUAGAUACCCGCGUAGUCCACGCCGUAAACGGUGGACACUAGAUAUGGGGAGUAUCGACCCUUUUCGUGUCGAAGCUAACGCUUUAAGUGUCCCGCCUGGGAAGACGGCCGCAAGGCU